ACUCAAAGGAAUUGACGGGGGCCCGCACAAGCAGUGGAGCAUGUGGUUUAAUUCGAUGCAACGCGAAGAACCUUACCUGGGCUUGAACUUUAGUGGAAGAUAACAGAAACGUUAUCGCCGUAAGGCCGCUAGAGAGGUGCUGCAUGGCUGUCGUCAGCUCGUGCCGUGAGGUGUUUGGUUAAGUCCAGCAACGAGCGCAACCCUUAUCGUUAGUUGCCAGCGAGUAAUGUCGGGAACUCUAGCGAGACUGCCUAGGUCAACUAGGAGGAAGGUGAGGAUGACGUCAAGUCCGCAUGGCCUUUAUGUCCAGGGCUACACACGUGCUACAAUGGCCAGUACAGAAGGUUGCCAACCCGCGAGGGGGAGCUAAUCCUAUAAAGCUGGUCUCAGUUCGGAUUGCAGCCUGCAACUCGGCUGCAUGAAGUUGGAAUUGCUAGUAAUGGCGUGUCAGCUACAACGCCGUGAAUACGUUCCCGGGCCUUGUACACACCGCCCGU
rnacentral:rRNA from 1 species